rnacentral:rRNA from 1 species
AGUGAACGCUGGCGGUAGGCCUAACACAUGCAAGUCGAACGGCAGCACAGUAAGAGCUUGCUCCUACGGGUGGCGAGUGGCGGACGGGUGAGGAAUACAUCGGAAUCUACUUUUUCGUGGGGGAUAACGUAGGGAAACUUACGCUAAUACCGCAUACGACCUACGGGUGAAAGCAGGGGAUCUUCGGACCUUGCGCGAUUGAAUGAGCCGAUGUCGGAUUAGCUAGUUGGCGGGGUAAAGGCCCACCAAGGCGACGAUCCGUAGCUGGUCUGAGAGGAUGAUCAGCCACACUGGAACUGAGACACGGUCCAGACUCCUACGGGAGGCAGCAGUGGGGAAUAUUGGACAAUGGGCGCAAGCCUGAUCCAGCCAUACCGCGUGAGUGAAGAAGGCCUUCGGGUUGUAAAGCCCUUUUGUUAGGAAAGAAAAGCAGCAUGUUAAUACCCCGCUGUUCUGACGGUACCCAAAGAAUAAGCACCGGCUAACUUCGUG